rnacentral:misc_RNA from 1 species
AGCACAUCACCCGCUGGCGUAGGCUCACUCCUUUUUGUUUGGUUGCUUCUUACCAAGGUGAGAUGUCGGUCCUCCCAGCCCCAUUCUGCCUCUCACCAUGUAUGAUUGCAUCUAAAGUCCAACAGACAAGUGGAAAAGCAAGGCAAGGGUCAUCACCACGCUACAAGCGUGACGGCGAACACAAAUGCGCAACCCACCAUCGUGCUGUUAUUCUUGUGCGUGGGGUUCUGGAGGGGGGGAGGGAGGGACUUGUGAGUUCGUGCUACUGCAACCUCCUCGCUCCCGCUUUCCUGUAUGCGCACGUCCAGCAGCUCAACCGAUUUUCCGUGUUUUCCUCUGGAAGCCACGUCUCUCUCUCUCUCCCUUUAGUCGACCAGCAACGAAUACAAGCCGAAUCAUCGCACCAGCCACAUCAGCUAGAGGCAAUCCGGAGUGGACAGGUAGUGAAAAAAAAAAGAAACGGCCGACGCCGCGUUGCCGCAGAUCCCGUGUGCGCGUGUGUGGGACGGCUGCGACUGACUCGC